UCCUACGGGGGGCAGCAGUAGGGAAUUUUCGUCAAUGGGCGCAAGCCUGAACGAGCAAUGCCGCGUGAACGAGGAAGGUCUUCGGAUCGUAAAGUUCUGUUGAAGGGGAAAAAGAGCGGAGAGAGGAAAUGGUCUCCGAUUGAUAUUACCCUUCGAGGAAGUCACGGCUAACUACGUGUCAGCAGCCGCGGUAAUACGUAGGUGGCGAGCGUUAUCCGGAAUGAUUGGGCGUAAAGGGUGCGUAGGCGGCCUGCUAAGUCUGGAGUGAAAGGUACCGGCUCAACCGGUACAGGCUCUGGAAACUG
rnacentral:rRNA from 1 species